GGGGGCGAAAUGGUAUCGACCGGGCAGUUGAAGUGGAAGUGGCGUGCCGUGGUUGGUCAGCGGCCCACGUCAAAAGCUGACCGAACUAUCAAUUGCCGAGGAUAACCUCGUACUGGCUGCGUAAGAAAACGCGGCCCCGGCUGAGGGCCUUUGCCGGAGAGGCCUGACUGCCGGCCGACAAAUCCGGCUCGCCCCGAGUCGCCGCCGGCCACGCUCGGGGUCAAACCCUGCUGCUGGCUAGCCGGCCCGGCACCCUGUCGGCUGGGGGCCGAGUCGGCGAAACGCAAAAAACCGACUACGCACGUAGAAGCUUCCACCGAAAUGUCACGGGACGCGGGUUCGAUUCCCGCCGCCUCCAA
rnacentral:tmRNA from 1 species